rnacentral:rRNA from 1 species
CUCCUACGGGAGGCAGCAGUAAGGAAUAUUGGUCAAUGGACGCAAGUCUGAACCAGCCAUGCCGCGUGGAGGAUUAAGGCCCUCUGGGUUGUAAACUCCUUUUAUCUGGGAAGAAAUGUCCCGAUUCUUCGGGACUUGGCGGUACCAGAGGAAUAACGCACCGGCUAACUCCGUGGCCAGCCGCCGCGGUAAUAC